rnacentral:rRNA from 1 species
AUUGAACGCUGGCGGCAGGCCUAACACAUGCAAGUCGAGCGAGCGGCGGACGGGUGAGUACUGUCUGGGAAACUGCCUGAUGGAGGGGGAUCAAUAAUGGAAACGGUAGCUAAUACCGCAUACCAUCGGAUGUGCCCAGAUGGGAUUAGCUAGUAGGUUGGGUAACGGCGCACCUAGGCGACGAUCCCUAGCUGGUCUGAGAGGAUGACCAGCCACACUGGAACUGAGACACUGUCCAGACUCCUACGGUAUGCAGCAGUGGGGAAUAUUGCACAAUGGGCGCAAGCCUGAUGCAGCCAUGCUGCGUGUGUGAAGAAGGCCUUCGGGUUGUAAAGCACUUUCAGCGGGGAGGCGUUACCCGCAGAAGAAGCACCGGCUAACUCCGUGCCAGCAGCCGCGGUAAUUC